rnacentral:rRNA from 1 species
GAUGAACGCUGGCGGCGUGCCUAAUACAUGCAAGUCGAGCGAACGGACGAGAAGCUUGCUUCUCUCAUGUUAGCGGCGGACGGGUGAGUAACACGUGGAUAACCUACCUAUAAGACUGGGAUAACUUCGGGAAACCUUAUCUAAUACCGGAUAUUAUUUUGAACCCCAUGGUUCAUAAGUGAAAGACGGUCUUGCUGUCACUUAUAGAUAUAUCCGCGGUGCAUUAGCUAGUUGGUAAGGUAACGGCUUACCAAGGCAACGAUGCGUAGCCGACCUGAGAGGGUGAUCAGCCACACUGGAACUGAGACACGGCCCAGACUCCUACGGGAGGCAGCAGUAGGGAAUCUUGGGCAAUGGGCGAAAGCCUGACGGAGCAACGCCGCGUGAGUGAUGAAGGUCUUCGGAUUGUAAAACUCUGUUAGUGGGGAAGAACAUAUGUGUAAGUAACUGUGCACUUGAUGACGGUACCUGAUGAAAAAGCAACGGCUAACUACGUG